GAUGAACGCUGGCGGCGUGCCUAAUACAUGCAAGUCGAGCGAACAGACGAGGAGCUUGCUCCUCUGACGUUAGCGGCGGACGGGUGAGUAACACGUGGAUAACCUACCUAUAAGACUGGGAUAACUUCGGGAAACCGGAGCUAAUACCGGAUAAUAUAUUGAACCGCAUGGUUCAAUAGUGAAAGACGGUUUUGCUGUCACUUAUAGAUGGAUCCGCGCCGCAUUAGCUAGUUGGUAAGGUAACGGCUUACCAAGGCAACGAUGCGUAGCCGACCUGAGAGGAUGAUCGGCCACACUGGAACUGAGACACGGUCCAGACUCCUACGGGAGGCAGCAGUAGGGAAUCUUCCGCAAUGGGCGAAAGCUUGACGGAGCAACGCCGCGUGAGUGAUGAAGGUCUUCGGAUCGUAAAACUCUGUUAUUAGGGAGGAACAAAUGUGUAAGUAACUAUGCACGUCUUGACGGUACCUAAUCAGAAAGCCACGGCUAACUACGUG
rnacentral:rRNA from 1 species